rnacentral:rRNA from 1 species
GACGAACGCUGGCGGCGUGCUUAACACAUGCCAGUCGAACGGUAAGGCCUUUCGGGGUACACGAGUGGCGAACGGGUGAGUAACACGUGGGUGAUCUGCCCUGCACUUCGGGAUAAGCCCGGGAAACUGGGUCUAAUACCGGAUAGGACUGCGCGGUGCAUGCCGUGUGGUGGAAAGAUUUAUCGGUGCAGGAUGGGCCCGCGGCCUAUCAGCUUGUUGGUGGGGUAAUGGCCUACCAAGGCGACAACGGGUAGCCGGCCUGAGAGGGCGACCGGCCACACUGGGACUGAGACACGGCCCAGACUCCUACGGGAGGCAGCAGUGGGGAAUAUUGCACAAUGGGCGCAAGCCUGAUGCAGCGACGCCGCGUGAGGGAUGACGGCCUUCGGGUUGUAAACCUCUUUCAGCAGGGACGAAGCGUGAGUGACGGUACCUGCAGAAGAAGCACCGGCCAACUACGUG